UCUGGUUCAAGGUCUCCACAU
rnacentral:miRNA from 1 species